rnacentral:rRNA from 1 species
UACAGAGGUCCCAAGCGUUGUUCGGAUUCACUGGGCGUAAAGUGUGCGCAGGUGGCUUCGCAAGUCGAGUGUGAAAUCCCCCGGGCUUAACCUGGGAAUUGCGCUCGAAACUACGGAGCUGGAGUAUGGCAGAGGGAGGUGGAAUUCCACGUGUAGCGGUGAAAUGCGUAGAGAUGUGGAGGAACACCAAUGGCGAAGGCAGCCUCCUGGGCCGAAUACUGACACUCAUGCACGAAAGCGUGGGGAGCAAACAGG